AAGCAAUAUUUUAACCUUUCCUUGGAAAUUCGGGGUGAGAGUUUCAGUGCACAGACUAUUUCAUACAGUUAUGGACAAAUAAGCAACAAAAUCCUAUCUAACAUGGCAAAAAAAAAAAAGAAAAGAAUGUGAAAUGGGUAAAAAAAAAUAAAGCUAGAAUAGAAGGAGUUUAUUCUAUAAUUAUCCACAGUAAAAACGUGGUCUAAGAUACAUACCGCUAAAAUGAUGCAUCUGAACAGCAAUUUCGGAUAUUAAAGUAGCUCAGAGGAUCAACUCAUAAACAAAAACAGUAGCGACUAGAACUUGGAUAGAAAUACUAGUAGUAUUCCAGUCGAACAAAAAGACAGUUACAAUCUAAGCACAAAAGAAGAGAACACAGUCACUGAACAAUAGAAGAAGAUAGGUUAGAGACAAAAUACCAAAGAAGAAGGUCAUUCUCAGUUAUAAUAUAAGCACAAAAGAAGAGAAUACAGCUACUGAACCAUAGAAGAAGAUACGUUAGAGACAAAAUACCAAAGAAGAAGGCCAUUCUCGUCCCUUCCUCCUAUGUUACAUAUUCUGUCUGUUACAUGACACGAUUGUGCUGCUUGCAAAAAGGUGAGUCAAGGGGAUCCAAGGCAAAUACGUUCAAGUGACAUGCACAAAACUCCUCUGACCAGUUAGAAAUAUGAUGGCUAACAAAAUAGUGGGAAGGCCUUGAUAUUCAAAAUCUGGUGCUAUAACCAGUUUUUAUGGAUGUAAAGAUCUAAGAAAUCCAUUUAACGAACAUCUAGUUUCUUCUGAUCCACCUAAACAUAGAACACUCAACUAGUCAAACAUUUUGCAGUUCCUUCUUGUUCUUGUUCUUCUUCUACAUUUUGUUGUAGGAUUAAAGCAGAGAAUCUGAGUUGACCAUCAGGGAUAAAAAGAAAUAAACAGCAAAAGAAAGGAAAAAGUGCAGCAGGAGUUUUAUGAUUUUAAUGUAGAUUCAGGCUUUUGUGACAAGAAAAGGGAUAAAAGGGACUACCUUUUGAACUUUAAGGCGUCGAAUGAACAAGGAGUUGGGAUAAUCUUGUCCAAAUGCAGAAUUCAAAGCAACUACGGUGGCCCAUAAAAGGUUCAAGAGCUGAUGAACCGCAGACUUCUAGCUGAAAUUUGAGGGUGCUGGAGAUGUUGUUUGGAGGAGUUUCCUAACAAAAAUCACACCACUACAAGCAUAGAUAGCGCAGAUUUAGAAAAAACACAUAUUCGACUGAGAUUGAGGCCGGAAUUUUCUCAAGAACUAAGCCAGAUAUCCAACCCUGGCUCAAAAAUUCUGCACUUUUCUUUCUUUUUUUUUCCUCUGAUUUCUUUCUCUUUUGUUGUUUUUCUUUUCCUCACCGUCUCUAAUCCUCUUUUUUGUUCCCCAGACUCUCUCCUCUCCUUCUCUUCUCCUCUCUUUUCCUUUCUUCCUCUCCUCCUUUGCUUUCCCCGAAACCCUAUUUUCCUUCUUCUUUGUUCCCUGUAGCAUCCCUUUCCCUGUUUCUUUCUUGCUUUUUCCCUUGCCCGCAACUCUUCCUCUUUCGUGGUUUCUUUUUUUCCUUCCUUCCCCGUAGCUCCUCUCUUCUCUCAGCCGAAACCUUCCCUUGUUGCUUUCUUUUUCAGCUUUUUCCAUUUUCUUUCUUUUCCUUGUUUUUUCACUGCCCCCGAAGCACUUCCUUUUUCCUUCUUGCUCAGCCGCCCCUCUCUCUAUCUUCCUUUCUCUCUCCCUUUCUUUUUUUCUACUCUGCCUUCCUCUCCCUCUCAAUCUCCUCUCUUCCUUGGUUUUUCUUUUCCCUCUUGCCCGAAAGCUUUCUUUUCUUGUUUCUUGUUUCCCUUGCUUUCCCUCACUGCCUGAAGCUCUCCUCCUAGCUCCUCUCUUGCUUCUAGAUUUUUCCAGUUUCAAUCACCUCCCUCCAUCUCCCAUCCUUCCUUUCUUGGUUUUCCUUUUUCUUCUCCCUCUCACUCGAAAACCCUCUCUUUUUCUUUCCUUGCUUCAGC
rnacentral:lncRNA from 1 species